ACAAAGCCCUCUAUCCAAUACCAUAAAUUUGUACUCCCUUCCCUCCAUCAUCAAAAACCUUAUCCAUAUCAUAUCAUAAUCAAAAUCAUUCCUUGUAUAAUAUUGCACCUCACUUUAUGUAACAAUUUAUUUUACUUUAAAGACACUUCAAUUUCCAUCAAUAUGAAAUUCAUCACCCUUCACUCUCCAAUCUUUCUAGGCCAAUUUUCAAGCAGCAAACAUAUAUGUCAACACCAUAAAUCAAAGCCAAUUUACUUAAUAGAGCACCAACAUUAUAAUGUUAAAUUAGCUACUGGUUAUGUAAUGGGAAAAAGGAGUAUGUUAAUUGCUCCACUUAGGGCCAUUAAUUCACCUGCAGCUUCUGGAGACUUGUCAGUUUUACUACAGACAGGUGCAGUAAUGCUAUUUAUGUACUGGAUUGCCAAUUUUGUGGUGCCACAGUUUAUCCUAAAGGAUCUUCAAGAUGACAGCACCACCAACAAUAACAAGACUGAUGAAAAAGAUCUUCUAUGAAUCACAAGAUUGUUAGUACCAAAGAAGAACAAAGGCAAAGGAGUUAAAACUCUGCUUGAUUCUCAACUCUUCCAUGUUGAAGAGUUUUUAUGAUUUGAUUGAUUGAUAUUUCUGUUGAAUAUAACAUUUUUAAUGUCAAAAAAUUCGAUAAGGUGUUCAAGAUUAAUAUAUAGAUAAUUUUUGACUUGUA